rnacentral:rRNA from 1 species
UCGAGCGGAAACGAGUUAUCUGAACCUUCGGGGAACGAUACGGCGUCGAGCGGCGGACGGGUGAGUAAUGCCUAGGAAAUUGCCCUGAUGUGGGGGAUAACCAUUGGAAACGAUGGCUAAUACCGCAUAAUGCCUACGGGCCAAAGAGGGGGACCUUCGGGCCUCUCGCGUCAGGAUAUGCCUAGGUGGGAUUAGCUAGUUGGUGAGGUAAUGGCUCACCAAGGCGACGAUCCCUAGCUGGUCUGAGAGGAUGAUCAGCCACACUGGAACUGAGACACGGUCCAGACUCCUACGGGAGGCAGCAGUGGGGAAUAUUGCACAAUGGGCGCAAGCCUGAUGCAGCCAUGCCGCGUGUGUGAAGAAGGCCUUCGGGUUGUAAAGCACUUUCAGUCGUGAGGAAGGUAGUGUAGUUAAUAGCUGCAUUAUUUGACGUUAGCGACAGAAGAAGCACCGGCUAACUCCGUGCCAGCAGCCGCGGUAAUACGGAGGGUGCGAGCGUUAAUCGGAAUUACUGGGCGUAAAGCGCAUGCAGGUGGUUUGUUAAGUCAGAUGUGAAAGCCCGGGGCUCAACCUCGGAAUAGCAUUUGAAACUGGCAGACUAGAGUACUGUAGAGGGGGGUAGAAUUUCAGGUGUAGCGGUGAAAUGCGUAGAGAUCUGAAGGAAUACCGGUGGCGAAGGCGGCCCCCUGGACAGAUACUGACACUCAGAUGCGAAAGCGUGGGGAGCAAACAGGAUUAGAUACCCUGGUAGUCCACGCCGUAAACGAUGUCUACUUGGGAGGUUGUGGCCUUGAGCCGUGGCUUUCGGAGCUAACGCGUUAAGUAGACCGCCUGGGGGAGUACGGUCGCAAGAUUAAAACUCAAAUGAAUUGACGGGGGCCCGCACAAGCGGUGGAGCAUGUGGUUUAAUUCGAUGCAACGCGAAGAACCUUACCUACUCUUGACAUCCAGAGAACUUUCCAGAGAUGGAUUGGUGCCUUCGGGAACUCUGAGACAGGUGCCUGCAUGGCUGUCGUCAGCUCGUGUUGUGAAAUGGUUGGGUUAAGUCCCGCAACGAGCGCAACCCUUAUCCUUGUUUGCCAGCGAGUAAUGUCGGGAACUCCAGGGAGACUGCCGGUGAUAAACCGGAGGAAGGUGGGGACGACGUCAAGUCAUCAUGGCCCUUACGAGUAGGGCUACACACGUGCUACAAUGGCGCAUACAGAGGGCAGCAAGCUAGCGAUAGUGAGCGAAUCCCAAAAAGUGCGUCGUAGUCCGGAUUGGAGUCUGCAACUCGACUCCAUGAAGUCGGAAUCGCUAGUAAUCGUGGAUCAGAAUGCCACGGUGAAUACGUUCCCGGGCCUUGUACACACCGCCCGUCACACCAUGGGAGUGGGCUGCAAAAGAAGUAGGUAGUUUAAC